CCCUUUGACGCGGGGUGCACGGAGCCUUCCGUGCUGAGAGCACACCCGUUGAACCUGAUCCAGAUCAUCCUGGCGUAGGAAUGUCCUCAUGACCCGCU
rnacentral:ncRNA from 2 species